rnacentral:SRP_RNA from 1 species
UCCUCCGCGUGACGGUAUCAUCCGAACCUCCCCAGGGCAGGAAUGCAGCAAGGAUAAGGGUGCGCUGCCGGGUGCGCGGAG